UACGUAGGGUGCAGGCGUUAAUCGGAAUUACUGGGCGUAAAGCGUGCGCAGGCGGUUUGUUAAGUCCGCUGUGAAAUCCCCGAGCUCAACUUGGGAAUUGCAGUGGAUACUGGCAAGCUGGAGUAUGGUAGAGGAAGGUGGAAUUCCCGGUGUAGCAGUGAAAUGCGUAGAGAUCGGGAGGAACACCAGUGGCGAAGGCGGCCUUCUGGACCAAUACUGACGCUCAUGCACGAAAGCGUGGGGAGCAAACAGG
rnacentral:rRNA from 1 species